CUGCUGGGUAGCUCCUCUUCCCUCGCUGGGCGAGGCUCUAAAGCCCAUGUGCAGCACAUUGAGGAUCUUCCGAUCGGUCUUCGCUGAUGCUUUUCUCAUGUCCCUCUAAGGGCGAGAUCACUGGGAAAGGAGCUGAUGCUGGUGGAAUCUUCAGGUGAUGAAGAUGGAGACUCCAGGUCUGAGUCGGCUGGAAAUAAAAAGAGACUCCCUGCAUUAGAGACCAUCCACAGGGCAUCCUUGGAAGCUGUGACCUGAAGGUGGACAAGCCACAGGAUGGAAGGAGCUGCAUCUCUAAGUCACCAGUGAAGAACAGUCACCCUCAAUGGAGAAAACCAAAGCCAUCAGGAGGAACUCCACCAACAUGGAAUCCAAUGUAUUGAUUGUUACGUCUUGCGGAAAUAUGGGAGACAGCAAGAGUUGAAUCCAUUAACAGUACUCAGCUCCAAUCUGUAAACCUGUGCUCCUAAAGUCUGCCUGAUGGUGCCUCUACAGACUUACCAACACCAGUGGUCCAGCAUCUGCUCCUCAGAGAUGCACAAAGAAGAGUGUACAUGAGGACACAGUGAGAAGGCGUCCAUCGGCAAGACAAGAGCUCUCAUCAGAAACCAAAUCUGUCAGCACUUUGAUUUGGGACUUCUAGCCUCUGGAACUGUGAAAAAAUAAAUCUCUGUUGUUUA
rnacentral:lncRNA from 1 species